ensembl:lncRNA
ACUGGGGAAGGAUAUCUUUCUGGAGAUCCCUUCUUUAUGGAGAUCUGCCUUUUCCCCCUGGGAGCUGAGAUGUUCAGAGAUGGGUUUCCAUAGUGUGUUAACCUGCCAGAUGAGGGGUUCCCCAUCCUACUGUGAAUAUAAGCAUGCUCUUAAUGAGAGCACAGCAGGAACUGUCAGGGACUGUUAUAAGUGAAAACUGCUACUUCUCCAAGCACCAUCUGCUAAACUGUAGGAUUGCAACCUGAUGUGAUACAGGAAGGGGAGGGAGAGGAGUCCUCUGCUUGUCUAAGAAUACCACCAUCGCAGUUUGAUGGGAGUUGUUUCUGAUAGUGUUGCUUGUAACUGUUCAUGGCAUGUAAUUCAGCCUCCUUGGGAGUUCAUACUGAGCCAGGAAACCUAUCUCUAAAAGCUACUAGUGAUCAUAUCUGUUUGCCUACAGCUACUCCAUCUGUGCCCCCUCAUUCUUCCAGGGGCACAUCUAGGUUCAUGUAAGAGAAGUGCCCCUGGAGCAUCUGACUGAGGCAAAUCUGUCACUCCAGAUUUUCUCCCACCUCAGAUCAGAGGGCAUAGUUUUCCUCUCAGGAAAAUGCAGACUGUUCUUCCUGCAUAAUUUGACUGAAGCUGACAGUGGCCGUUCCCCUGGCUGUAUUACCCAUUUACCUGCCAGCAGAAUAUAUUGAAGGGCAGAUGGGGGAAAUGAGAGGUUAAGCAUAAAUUUCCUCUCCCAGAGCCUGUGGAAGUCUGAUGUAUAAGAUGCCUGGGAACAUACUGUGUGCCUCUGAUAGCUGAGCUUCUCUGAGUACUUGAUGUUAAUAGGGUACUUGCCUCUUCAUUUGCUGCUCCAAAGAUUUGCGGAGACCUUAACCACGGGCUUUUCUGCACAGCUGAGAGCAGCUGAGGGGGCUAACAAAACUUAGGGAGGGCACUUGCUGUACUUGCUUAAGGGACAGUUGGAGGGAGAAGCAUUUGCUCCUGGAAAACCUGGAGAUCACAGCUUUAUUCAUUGCCAGCCAGCAAAGGGCUCAGUGUGGUCCUUUAGUGUUCUCCAUCCACAAGCGCAAGGCAGUAUGUGGCCAUAGGUUUGCAGGGAUCUGUUUCCUGCCCUGCGUCAACUGUGGGCCAAACUGCUUGAAUUGGAAUAGCAGAGCUCUAUCUGCAGGCUUCUGUUUGCGAGCAGCAGCGGUGUGUCCCUCUGGGCACUGCUGAUGUUUUAUCUUUUAAAACCAAUCUGUGCUCUAUUCUGUGUGCUGCUCGUGCAGGUUGUUGGAAAGAAACUGGGAAGUGUAAAUGAUUGCAGCUGCAAAGUGACAUUCUGCAGAAACUGCUCUGACCUCAGCAAUGGUCUUCACAGCCCACCACGCUCACUGUGGCUCUCUUCCAAAAGCCAGCAUGAGAUUCUGUUGUGCUCGCCUCCCCUUCAAAGAAGAGGGAGGAAUUAUAUCAUCCUAUAACACUGUCAGCUGUACCAUGGCCCUCAGAAGGUGAAAGAUUUGCAUCUUGGUGUUAUUAUCAGCAUUUACUGUAACAUUUUGAGUACCGUCAUUUCUUCCAGAAUGACCACCAGAGACAUCUACCACCAGCAGACCUGGAUAUUCAGAUACAAUUUCUUGUGCUUUGUUUCUUUACUCCCAGUGACAGCUCCUUCUGAUAGCACUCCCACACACGGUUUCAGAAAUCAUAACUGCUGUAGACUGAAUGCCUCUGGAGGUGAUCUCUGUAAAUUGGCAGCUUCGCCUCUCUGUAAAUCUUCUGUCAACUUGUGGAAUUCACAUGGUUCAUCCUUCAGGCUAACAGCCUCUUUGUACUUAAGCACACACAUACGUGCGCCCUCCCAGGGAGUUUUUCAUCUUAACUCAGGAAAGCACUGUAACUUUCUGGCUGUUCUGUUACGCAUUAAAAUGAAAGCUGGUUUUGCCUUUUAUAUGAUAGCCUUUCUGGCUGGUAAGCCACUGUGUCUGGCCCUGUGGUAUCUCUGGAGAAAAGGGAUUCUGGUUUUGGUCUUCUCUGUGUUUGAGCUGGGCUCUUUAGGAUCAGCAGUUAAUGUUUGUGAUAGCUGGUAUAAGCAACUGAUAAAAUCAACAUUACCUCUGGCAAAUAUAGAAAAUACACCUUAAACUAUGUUGUUCCAUAAUCACAUCUGGGUAGCUUGUCUGUGCAUCCCAGUGUUUAUCUGAAAACCUACACCAACCAAAAGGGCUGUUAAAGGACCAUCAGUAAAUGCUCUUAAUUAGU